UUGGAGGCCUGAGCGAGCAGCCGGAUGCACUCGGAGCUGAAAAAAAAUCCUAAUUAGAGGGAUGUGCAGUCCUUCUUAUCUGACUCUCCACCCUUUGCUUGGUUUCUUGGUGAUUAACAAAAAGUAUCAGGUCAAUUCACUGGAAAAUUAUCCAGAAAAACAAGCUGUUCUUACUGAUAUAAAUCUGCUGUCAUGACAAAUCUUCCCCCGAGAGAAAAUGAGCUGGGCUGUGACAGAACGUGUCCGCUCCUUCACAUGCUGAAUAUUUCAUCAGCCAAUCGCCCACGUUAUCUUUAGUUUCUCCACCAUAUUAAAAUUUCACCACCACUCUUGUUCUGCUACCUCCAGGUGUGAAACUCACCCUCUCUGUAUCGAGCCUCCAGGGUGUGGGAGAGAGGAUAAGGUGUCACGGACACACCCCGGCCAGUCAACUGCACUUUGAGCUCCGUGUCCAAACCCCCCCUGAAGCGAUGCCAGACUCCAGACAGACCUUAUUAGAAGGUCCAAGUGGUGCUACAGGUAUUUUGCUGCAGACGCCCAGGCUACUUCCUCUGAUCUCACCUGACAACCAUCUUUCAUCAACGGCUCAACCCUAAUCUUGCUCUCUCAGCCAACCUCAGUAUCCUGUGUACCUGCGUGUGACUGACCCGCAACUGAACACUCGAGUGUGUGACUCUUCCUCUUGCUUCUUGCAUGGGAGGAGGGAAGGUGUCAGCACCGCACCACAGCCACCACCCACCUAGUCUGCCAACCGGCUCCCCUCAACCGGUGGAUGAUCUCCUGUUGACAGGCCAAGGGUUAUUAUCGUGGUUUCAGGGCUAAGAGGAAUGCUACUGCACUUCACAACAGAUGUCUUUUUAAUUCCUGACAAAACCACCCACAGAGAUGAGGAAAAAAAACGCUAUCACUGCUCUCAGCUGACCCACAGUGUAGACGUCUGGAACCUGUGAGUGACAGUUAAAGGUUUUCCUACCGAGCACCAGAUUGACUGACUUCUUAAAGAGGAAGUGUCCGACCCCCAGGAGCCACACCUGACUGUAUUAAAAGGCUCCUUGCAUUGUUUUGUCUUCCUCUUGAUUACUAAGGCAGACUGUAAUAAUGACCAGCAGUGAGACGCAUCAUCCGGGAAGGAUGCACACAAACUGGAGCAGCGAGUUGAUUCAGCUCAGACAGCUUGCUGUUCUCAGAUUCCUGCCAUAUUUCUGGAAUGCCACUGAACAAACAGAGGUGAACCUGAUCUAUGCUGUCACACUGUGGCACGGGGUAGAGUUUCCCCUAACUCUCUCUCUCACACACACACACACACACACACAACUUCCUCCUUGAUAUCCCAAAUAAAGACCCAAGC